rnacentral:rRNA from 1 species
GAUGAACGCUAGCGGCAGGCUUAAUACAUGCAAGUCGAGGGGCAGCGCAGUGUAGCAAUACAUGGGCGGCGACCGGCAAACGGGUGCGGAACACGUACGCAACCUUCCUUUAAGUGGGGGAUAGCCCAGGGAAACUUGGAUUAAUACCCCGUAAUAUUAUGAAGUGGCAUCACUUUAUACUUAUAGCUCCGGCGCUUAAAGAUGGGCGUGCGACUGAUUAGGUAGUUGGCGGGGUAACGGCCCACCAAGCCUGCGAUCAGUAACUGGUGUGAGAGCACGAACAGUCAAACGGGAACAGAGACACGAGCCCGACUCCUACGGGAGGCAGCAGGAAGGAAUAUGGAUCAAUGGACGCAAGUCUGAACCAGCCAUGCCGCGUGGAGGAUGAAGGUCCUCUGGAUUGUAAACUUCUUUUAUUUGGGAAGAAAACCACUGUUUCUACGGUGGUUGACGGUACCAGAUGAAUAAGCACCGGCUAACUCCGUGCCAGCAGCCGCAGUAA